AGCUGAGAAGAGGAAAAAUUGUUUAGUAGGAAAAAUGUCAUGGAUGUUUGUUGAGCAGCACAGAUGUAUAGAAGGAAUCGGUGUUCAUACUGUAUGUGGCAACUGACUAUACUUCUGCAUGCAGAUAAAGGAGUUAGUUACACAACUGUGUGUAAGCAAAUCUCCUUUGCAUGUGCAGAAAGGGCCUGUCCAACUGCUAUACUAAUAGCUGACCAAUAACAGGCAGAUCUUGAAAGAUAUAUCAGAGUAUAACUAAUUAAGUACCCAUUAGCCAUUACUUUGUUCUCAUGAUCCUGUGUUCUGUAUGUGAACUGUCACUGCUUUAACUAUUUUUCCAGAACAAGGAUCUUUAAAUUCCUGUGUGAAGUCACAAAAAGUGUAAUAAAAAAUAUCAGAGGUGUGCUACAGCAACUUGCAUGGCAAAGCACUAGGGUAGAAAAUGAGUAGAAACAGAAUGGUCUGCUUUCUGUACAGAAUUCCCUUGCUAUAUAUGGGCAAGGUGCUAUGAACUGCUGGAAGCAUAGUUUGGUUAGAGGGCAGAGAGGGAGGGGCUGUAUAUCACUGUGACUUCAAUACACCAUGGUAACAAGAGCACGGGUACCUGCCUCUCUGAUGCAAAAAUGAAUCCUGCAACUUCCUUGGCUUCUGUAAGCUUGUGAAUCUCCUCCAUCAACUGAUGCUGCACUUCACAGAUGCUUGAGGAAGACAGCUGCAAACAUAAAGUUUUUCAGCCCCUUCUGACUCUGAAGUCAGCCCUUGGUGGAAAGGGAUACUCCAGAAGGGCCUCACUGCACUGUUUCUUGUGCAGAAUCUUGUCCAGUUUAUUGCCUAAAUAUGGCUCCGGUUCAGUUCAAACUGUUGAAGAAUAAUGUUGUUGAUGUUCAGCUGAAAAAAGUUGUGUCCCCAUCUAAUGAGUGUCCCACUGGAGAUUAACUAGUCCUCAGCAAGCCAGCUCAAGCCCCAUGCACUCUCAAGGGCCUAUUUUGGAGGACAAGGUAAGAUCAGGAAGUGUUGUGUUUCAAGGAUCCAGACCUACUGGAUGUCCAAAACCUCAGCUGUGAUAAACUCUCCCUUAAAGCUUUUCAAAGAUGUCACAUUUGGCACAGAAGUCCCUUAACCAGAAGAUAUCUGAGGCUGGAGGAGCAUCUGGAAGCUGGCAUUUUCAUUGCUUCUGCACCAUCAGCUCUUUGAGUACUUCUGACGUCCCUCUGCCCCUGUAACAGUUGACCAAGAUACUUCAGACUGAAAGCACAGCAGCAUCCUGAAAUGGCAGUUGUUAUGGCCUAGAGUGGAGCAUCUUCCUCACACGACAGAGGAACAACCUCCACCUUUUCCUCUACUGAAUUAAAACCACUGUGGAUUGCAUCCAUUUCUGUUAGGUAUGAAAAAGGAAAGCAUUUACAUUUCUGAUCUUCUCUUUUUUUUCCCAAAAAACAGUUGGGAAUUUUAGAUGCACUGAAAUAGUCCUGCACCCAUUUCCCAUCUAAGUUUGGUGCCUGUUUCUCUCAUCUUGUAACCCCUGUGCUGCUUACUGUGUAUAUAAGAAAUAUUAUCCUGGCAGAGAAAGAACUCUUCAUCUCUUUUGCUGAGAUAUUCAUUAGAAUCUCACACCAUAAUGUAGCAGCAUCCUGAUCGGCAUCCUUGGAAAUGCACAUAAUAAACAAUAGCAAUGGUGAAAACUACUGUCUCAGGCAUUUACAGAAAAAUUACAUCUACGUGGCAACCAGUCAGAUGUUUUAUAAACACUCCUGUUGAGUUAUAGCCAUGAUUAUUAAAGUUAAAAGCUGAGCACCACGUUAAUUGGGAGCUCUAUUCAUUCACAGAGUGAGCAUGAAGCUGUCAGGCAUCCUGCCUCUUUCAUCCUGACCGAAGUCAGCUGUUUCAUAAUACAUUGCAUUGAACUGCUCUGUCUUAAAGUGAAAAAUGAUUCAGUUACCACAGUAACACAGCUCUGGGUUUCUUCCCUAGCAGUGAAGGUUAACUGGGCUGUCUAAUGCAUGUUGGUUUCAAGGUGCGAACAAGGGAACAACAACAACCGAGUUAUGAAUUCUGAAGUUCAUUUUAGUUACUGUAAGGCCACAGCCAGAAAAGCACCCACAUCCUAAAGCUACAUCUUCUUUGGGUGCUGUCAUCUCUGUUUUCUCUGUCUUGUGCUAAAUGCUAAUGCUGAUGGCUAACAACACACACUGCAUCCUGACUUCCCCAUAAACUCUACACAGGGCCUUAAUUUGCCAACAGUGUAAGGGGAAACCAUAACAAGCUUUAUCCUGAUCCUGUGCCCUUGGCAGAGAUGCUGAACUGUCACACUUAUCAUUAACUUUAAGCAGAGCUCCAAGUGUUUAGCACAGCCUGUAAUACAUGGAGCUCUUAAGAGAGAUUAUGUUUUCUGCAGCAAAAAAAUGCAAACUGUAGACUUAGGUUUCCCUUCAGCAUAUGUUAGAGCCUGGAAAUAGUCGUUCUCUGCUCCAGUAUGGAAAAUAUGAGCAUUCAUUGGUGUAAUGUGCCAUAAUGAUAAAUACUUUCAUUUAUGAUAAAAUAAUGAGAGAAAUUACGUGCUAAUUACAUGGUUGGGAUCUAUUAAAAGCAGCUGGGAUUCUUAAGCCUAGAACUCUUUUUGGUUCUGGGUUGUAUAUAAAGAAUCAGUUGAGCACUGAGCAAGAAUGUGCUAAGAAUGGGCUAAAGCCAGUCUGAAACAAGACCUCUUGAAAUUUGUAUAUACCAAGCCCAACUGUUCAGUUAUACAAGUCUGCAUCUAUGGGCACUACAGCUAGUCAGUGUAGGCAUAGCCUAAGAUGUGGAGACUAAAAUUAGACAUCAAUAUAAGCAACUACAUAAUUUUGGUUUCUAACUCAUGAAACAGCAGUUCUCAGCCUCACCAUGACUGGGCUUCCUUCCAAAGGAAGAUGUGUCAGUGGAAGAUGUUUAAAUACCACAAACACAACAGGAUACAAUGGGUGUGCUAAACAGUUCCUCAUCCUGCUUUUUCCAUAGACCAAUAUUAACUUUUACAAUGAGUAUGAGGGAGGAUUCUGGAGGGACAACUGUACUCUGCUCUUUUUUUGAAGGUGACAAACCUAGUAACUUACUGUUUACUAUGAUGCAGUUAUUCUCCCUGCUUUACACUCAGCCUUUAGAAGAACUGCUCUUGUCUUACAUUCCAACUUUUUCCCUGCCAUAAUUUAGCCAACCUUCUGUUCCAAAAUCCUAUACAUUUUGAUGGCCCUUUGUCUGAUUCCGGAGAAAAACACUGUACUGAACUGAUUAAAUUAUUUGUCCUUACUUCUGGAUAUGGCACCAAACUGAAAGAAUGAUUCUCCUUGCUGUUGAGAAAGCCACUUCCUGUUAGAAUAGAACAUUGCUUAUUAAGGGUAUGACUCAUCAUGAUGCACUUUUAUUGAAAUGCUGCCAAACAACACAGUUUCAUCAAACUACGUUAAGCUGUUGCCUUGGCAAACCAGAUUGAGACACGCUAGGAUUAAUACCUUUCCCAAGCUUUAAUAUUGUGUUCCCUUGCCAAAUGGCAACUUAUAAUUUUUUUACCCCAUUAUUUUUCAAGAAGGUGGUUCUUUCUAUAACACAUUACCUGUGGUACAUGGUCAGUGUAAAGAAAAAAGAACCCCUCUGACCGCUGAAUCAUAGCUGAAAGUUUUUUAAACUAAACUGGCUAACUUUGCACUCAAGCAAAUUAUGGUUUCUUACUUGAUUUCUUAAGCUGGAUCACCUACCACCUCUGCAUUGAAUAAGCAAUUACAGAAGAGCUGAUGAAUGGAAACUUCUUAAAUCUCUCCCUGUGUGCCAGAACGUCAAGAGAAUAGAUCCCAGCUACAACAUUUAUGGUCUGAGCUACUGAACAUAUGAUUGUUGUGAUACAUCCAGGGCAAAUUUCUUUGCUAAAAAUAGUCAUGAUUCCUACAGACAUUCCUACACAGAUUCACACAAGCUCCAUACUGAUGGCUGCUUUCUUUCUUCUACUGACCAUGUCUCUGUUAAUCACACUUACUCAACUUUUACAUUAAUUAUAUUGCCAGUAAAUAUGUUUAUGAUGUUUGGGUAGGUUUUUUUGGGUGACAUUUUUAUUAUUCCAACCACUUUUAAUGCAUUUCUCAAAUGGCACAGGUAUGAACAUGCAAUAUAAAAGUUGUUUAAGCAUAAGCAGCUAGGUAGGUGAUAUUGAACUAGAUGAAAAUAAUGUUAUCAUUAUAUAGCAUAACUCAGUAUUGCAGUUUUCAUUUGUGAUAAGCCCACUCUCUCCCUUUCUCCUUCCCCUCAACAUCCAGAGGAGCAAGCACCAUGAUCAAGCCUGACAUGAGCACAGCAGAGCCACUAGACAGGUUUCACAUCUCCUUUUUCCUGUAUUACUGUGGACAGCUUGUAACACAUUACUCUCUGAGAGUGGUGCUACUUUAGUCUGAUGAAGGUAUAGGACAGGAGAGUGUUAUGUUUAUUCUUUCACGUGGCUUUGUGUAGAACUCAAGAGGACAGUAAACAUACCGAUUAGUUGCAUGGGUGGCUCCACAUCUGUUGUGGCUUCUUCCAGCAGUGACAGCAGCUUGGCUGAUGUUUGAUGGACCGAUUCGAUGUUGCUAAACAAGCCAUCCACAUCAAAGCGAGCGAUCUAGUGGAAUACAAAUAUUAAGCAGCUACUGAGGAAGGAUAAAGAAGGACACUAUUUUACAGACCUUCUCUCAAUGUGGCCUUCGUGUUCAGCACUCCAGGAAGCACAAUUUUUGCAAUACAUAAUAUAAACAUCCUUCUUGUGACUUUCAGGACGCAUACAGUUUUCAGAUCAGUAGAAUUUGGUUGACGCAGUUAACAAAGGGCAUUAUUUUCAACUACUGGUUCCUAAUCUGAAAGUGUUUACCCGGGAAGGAAAUAAAUAUUAUCAUCUGAAUGAAGAAAAGUUAUUUAGCUGGCUUUAAAGUGUUUAUUUUCCCACUGAGAAGAAUAGUUGGCAGUGGAUCUGAUUCCUUGUUUUCCAGUUGCUCACAGAGGCCACUACAUGAACUAGGACCUUUGUGCUGCAGUGCCAGCUAUGAGGUACGAAGACUUUCAAAUGAUGAUACCGUUUUAAGUUAGUUGUCCUGUAAAUCUGAAGAGUGCAAUCAAGACCAUACAAUUUCCACUUAAACUAACACUUUAAAAUUCUGGGUAUUAAUAUAAUCAAAGGUGGAGACCAGGAGCACAGCACUGGCUCCAGUGAACUGGUUCAGUUUACAUCAGCAAAAAAUUUGUCUCCAUAUCAUAUUGUCUCCCUUACUCAUAUUAAACAAAAAAUGUUCAGGACACGUGCUUUUCGUACAGCACACUCCCUUGUGCAACUGCAUGGUAGUUAAUAUUCAGGGACAACAGGGGAUAGUCAGUGGUGACGUGUUAACACUGAGAACAAAGGCAAGACUGAUUUUGACAUCCAUAUCUCUACCCACUGAACAUCCCUCUCCAUUAGAAACAGAACUGCUUACUUGCUCUCCAGAUGCUGGGAGGAUCGUAUUGCACACUGUUGUAACCGAAUCAGCAAUACACUUUCAGUUCUACCAUAGUUAAUUUUUAAUAAUUAUUAAACAGCUAAAACAUUUUUUAUCCAUUUAGAAAUACAAAUCAGAUCCAUUCCUAGGUCAAUUUUCUAAAUGUUAUCCUUCUCUAAACACACUACAAACUCUCAAAUAUAGUAGUUUAUCUGAGAAGUAGACUUAAAACCAUACAGUAUUUUGAAAGCCUUUCAAAAAUUGCAGAGGUUAUUACAUUAGGACAGUUAUAAUCUCUGCUUUUCUUCUGUAUUCGUCUGUCACUGGACUUUUGACCUCUACUCCAGCACAAUGCCUACAUUGCUUUUGGAACAAUGUUGUGACUGGAGACGGUGACAAAGGACAGAAUGAAAACAUAUGUUUUCAGUUGGCUGGACAAGAGCAGAAGAAUACAGCAUGUUUGUUACCAAUCUCAGUGAGUUUGAGCACUGUGUACUGGUCAGGAACCAGCAGAGACCACUCCAAAGCAGAUGAACAACUGAGAGGAAAGAGGAGUCAAGAACUGCUUAAGUAACCAGCAGAAGCCAGCUCUUCCAAAAAUGAAUUGGAACGAAUACUAACAGUUUUAGGAAACAGAGCAAUGGUCCUGCAGGAGUUUAAACAAUGUGAGUUUCAGUGGCCACAGUUCUCUGAGGAGGCAGCGUCUGCAUCAUUUAAAAAGUCUUUGUCCCCUGUACUACUAUUUUGUGACCAGUUGUGUAAGGAAUCAUACAUACAGAACACAGGCCUGCGGUCUUUUUAAAAUCACUUCUAUGCUGUAUUAGCAGCAGAUAUCAUUUGUGCAGCUUCUGUGAACGCUAUAUUGCAAGCCCCACGAAUUUAAGUCUUUCUCUGGACAAGCUCUUCUAUUCCCAGCUUGAGACUGCACAAUUUUUCUAGAAAUUGAAAUAUUGUUGAGGAAAAGGUGCUCUUUGAAGUCUCAGCUGAAAAGGAAACUGAGUAUCAUUGGCCUAAUAAGAUCUUUUGCCUGUAAGGUAGCUCAUGAGCCUUCCUCCCUCAAUUUCUCUUUUCUGUGAGGAAUGCAAAUUUCCACGGCGCUCACUGUGCUGUCUGUCAUGCGUGGUGUCUCUCCACCACCGUUGUCAGAGAAGCUGGUUGAAGUAAUUUUUAAGACGGAACUUAACCCUGAUGGGAAGGUUAAUGCCAUUCCAGGCUGUUGCCAUGGAAAAUAUUUCUUGUUAUUGUUUUUUACUGCUUUUAGAGGUGUUAGUAAAGGUCUGCUGGAGCAUGUGCCAGUGGUUAUGGGCACAGCAAAAUGGACAGGGGAAGCUGCCACUGUAGCCUAAGCCUGGGAGCAGGCAUAUAGCAUCUAAGCUGCCCUCUGGGCAAGCACCUCAAUGCCAAGGGUCAGAAGUGUAUCUGACUUCCCACUCUCCUCACUACAGUUCUGGCAUAUUCGCCUUCUGUAAAGCCAGCUCUGGACCUGCACCAGGCAGCACACCACCCUUCAGGUUGCCAUCUGUGCUUGCCUUAAGAUUAUCUGCAAACAGAGCGUAGGUGAAUUCAGAUCUUGGCGUCAUCUUUGGUCCUCCGCCCUCGGCACUUACCUGUUUGUUUCUCAGAGGCUGAAUCACUUCCUUGAUGCAGAGAUCCAGGUCACUGAUAUAGUCCCUCUCUGUCUGCAUGAGCUCUGCAAUGAUUUUUACCCUCUUGGCCAUCAUGCGUUUGGUAGUUUCUUCAUCCUCCCGUGGCAAGGUGGUGGGGGAUGUGGAGCCUGACUGUGGGGCCAUUUUUUCUGUUUUAAAAGAGAAUUGUGGGAGGUCUGUAAGGAACAUCAUCAUUUCAUUGUCCCGGCCAUGCUUCCUCUACUGCCUGAAACACUUCCCCACUGAACGCAAUCCUGCAUCAACCUGGUCACGCUGAAAUCCAAAUACAGCUGAUGACCUGUAAAACCACAGCCUCGGGCUGAAGUCUAUUAAGAUUUGGUGAAGGGUGAAAACAUGCUCCUGUGGAAGGAAAAGGCUGUGUUUAUUGCUGGUUUCACUGGAAUAACCAUUGUUUUGUACGAUGUAUUUACUGAGGUCUGUUCAUGGGUUUACAGGUAUGGAUGAUGAUGAAAUCUGUAAUUCUUUUGAAAGAGUUCUUUUAAUAAGGAAAAGGAAUUACAGGACUAUGGAAAAACCUCCAGUGAUCAAUAGCAAACACUUCUUGUGACAACAGGGAUCACUGGGGUCAUGAGAUUCUUACUUUUCCACAUUUAAAACCUAACCUGAUUAAUUUGUUCCAAAUACAUGGAAAUGCAAAGGAAUCUUCUAUAGACAGAUAAUUUACCUAUGCUACCUGUGCACACCACCUACUUAUCUGUAAUGAUGGCUUUCUCUUUGUUUGGUUCUGAAGGCAACCUGCAGGCACUCAUGGCAGCUGUACAAAGGGCACAGAAUUUUGUCAGUGUACACUGACAGUCUGUAUUUUUCGUUAGGAAAAACACAGGGGGAAAAAGUGGAAGAUUUCAGAGGGUAUUCUGGCGUUUUCCUGCCAGCCACAAGAUGGUGCAGAGUACCAGCAAAGACAGACAGAUCAUUACUGCGCUCAUCUCCGCAUUACCCAGGUCGUGGCUUGACAGCAUCGGAUUUUCUCGCUCAGCAGCAAAGGACAGGAAUCUCUGCUGAGGAUCAGGCUGUUAUGCCUUGAUUUCAGCUCCUUGUAGGAAGCGUACCGUAUAAUGAGCCACGAGCAAGCAGGAUCUGAUGCCUUGCCAGCUGGUAACUGAUACUGAAUAGAUUGCUGUUGUUGGAAUUGAUCGUUGAGGGUGAGGUCAUGAGCACUCAAGUGAGCACCAAGCAAAGCCCAGCUCACCCAUACAACGCAGGUCAAUGCUGCAGAUGAUAAACUGGAGCUGGACUUGUGAGGAAGCCAGGCAAUCUACUGGAGAGAGGACCUGGAGCUGUCUUCCACUGAGAGUUGUAAGAUCUUACAAACGCAAUGCAUCAUCGGCCUCGGGCCCUUCUACAAUGAUGCUGACAGCUUAUAUUCAGAAAGGAUGGUUUUGUUAUUAAUCCUAGUCAAAUGGAUGUGAACACGGUUUGAUUUAAAUAGCUGCAUUGGGAACUGCACCUCUGCUUAUGUCCUGGUAGUUUGCAGCGGGGAGGACAAGGAGCCUGAACAAAGCUGGGAGUUUGUACACAGACAAUGGACUGGAAUGGAAAUGAGCAGGAUAUCUCCUCUCUCCAAGGCCUUGGAAGAAUUUUAAGCUGAAUUCUCCCCUAGAGAAUUCACCCCUGCUGGUGUGAGUGUCUGCCUUGUGUGAGUAUUCACCUCACUUCAGACCUCAGCCCCCAAAGGUACAGUGUGCUGAAAGAAAUGGACUCAGUGCUCACUUCAGUGUGAAGAGCAGAAAUCUGUUCUAGUACUUCUUCAUGGCUCCCUCUGAGCCAUUGUGUGCUAGGGCUGUGGAAUGAGCCCUCCCUGCCUGCUGCUUAUGUGCUAACAUGGCAGGUAGUAACCACAAUUACAAAUGUGCGAGGAACCACACAAACAAUACGAUUUAGCUCCAGUCCUGCACCAAAACCAACAUUCCUCUUGAGACCAGGUGUGAAAUAGUUUGUACGUGUGUGACUGAAUGUGAGAGUUCAGGAGGAAGGUCUUAGUUACAAAUGUAUUGUCUUAUAUGCAGUACCACCACAGUAUUAGAUGGAAUUUGAAGGUGAACACAAGAUGCUCUGUAAAAGAACUUCUCCAUCUUUUAUAGUGGUGGCAGAGACAACAUUACGGGAACAAAACAAAGGCAUUGUAUCCCUCCUCAGGCUCAAAAUCACAAUCCCCAGAGAGGUUGGCUUUUUUUCUAUUUAUGCCAUUAGAUCACCCUGAUCAAAUUUGAUUCGGGAAUUAUGUCAGGGCUCAGCUAUUAUCCUUGUUGCAUGAUAGAUAAUAAUGCCAGGAAAUAAAAACUGUUCUCAACAGGAAGAAAUAAUGGUGAGAAAUAGCAGGUAGAUGCUGUUUCCUUACGGAAAGCACGUUUUUUUAAUAAAAGCACCCUUUUGUUACAAGUAAUAUAAUUUUUCAUUUUCACUCAACACAUUCACAUUUUCAUUUUAGACAUGUCUGUCUCCGUAGAACGCAGGAGCAAGAUACUGAAAUGAUAAUUACAGCCCAAACCUGUGAUUUUACAUUCAGCUGAUUGCUUUUGACCAGUUUAAGAACAUUAGUAGCCUGCUGAAAUCCUUGCAGAGUAAGUGAAAGUUGAAUGAAUGCACAAACAGCAAGUGCACAUUUGAAAUACAGGCAGACUUGUUUCUACCUGGUAAUGUCAACCAGCCCUGGAACAGUACAGAGAGAGGAUUAGCAAGAAGAGACAUUGCUGAGGAUUAACAAUUAUAGUAAGAAUUCAGCUCAUUCAUCCUUGGAAGUGACAGGUGUAAAAGAAAAGAACUGUCCCCCUCAAAUGGUUUAUUACACACGUAUUUCUUAAGACACGUGCCAAGGUAAUUGGUACUUUUAGUAGAUAUAAAAAUGUGAAGUGGAAGGCAGCAUUUGCAGUUGUUUUUUGCAAGGACAGUUGUCUGCAGAAGCUGCCUUUCUGCAAGAUAUUGCAUUGGUGAGGGAGCUUACGACUUUGGUUUUGAGCCAUGGAAGUGCACAGCUCUACUCACAGGACAUGAGAAGCUCAGUGAGCGAUGCCGCAGACAAAGGAGCUGCAUGUGUAGCAGAAGCAGUUUCUUGCAAGUGUGAAGUCUAAUAUCAUCCCUCAGCUGGAGACAACCCAGCAAAGCUGGGAGACCAGUAAUGCACAAAUACAGCAUCUCCUAGGCACAUGGACAGACUACAGAAGCAGUCAGAGAAGGUUUAAAAGAUGGAUGAGUGCAAAUUUCCCAGGCUUUCCCCCCUGUAGAGAGCAGCUCCUGGAGGUCUGCUCCAGCUCUCAUUCCUCCAGGUGAGAUGCUCAGGGUGGAUAUUAGGUUUGCCUUGGGGGGCAGGACACAGGUUUCUUCAUAUCUAAUGCUUUUCAUUUGGAAGUGAACGUAGAGGCAUGGAAUAUAGCAACAAGUACAACAACAUCAAUGCAUGAAGGGGAGUGAGAGACCUUUUUCUUGCUCAAGUGCUAUUUGGAGGACUCCAAAGUAAGCCCAGCACUCACGUGGUGCAGGUGAGGGAAUUUUGCCUGGCAUGAGGCAUAAGUUAUCAAGGAACAGCAAAUAAAUUACAGCAUUACUGUAUUUUCACAAGUGAAACUUGAACCUCACGCCACCAUAGAUAAAAUUAUUCUCUGUGAAAGCAAGCCCUCAGAUAGCCUGUACCCUCAGAUAACCCAGAGACUGUACACGGGAAUCUACACCACUUUUAUCAGCUGGAUUUGCAAGUCAGACACAGGCAGUUUAGGCAAUGAAAUACAAAAAGGAUUGGGAAAGGGUUGUAGAAAAUGCCAUUUUUUUCCCCCCACACAUGUAUAUGCUGGCAACAUUAUUUGGGAGCAGGUUUGACGCUCAGGGGCAGGUUUGUUGCAUGGCUGUUACAGAUGCAAAAUGCCCCAUGACGGCAUAUGGGCUUCCAGGGCAACAGGUUUGCUUAUAAAGCCAGAGAUUUACGUGCAAUUAGGUCAUUCUGUCUUUGAUCAUUCUUGUUCCAUAAAGUGCAGAAAAUAUUUACAUUGAACAUGCAAGCUUUUUCUUCAAUUCCUUGACAGCAUCUCGCUUUAAUUAUAUAUCUGCUGACAGGACUUCAGAGAGAUCCCAUGUGACCACAGGGGAAGGGAAGAAAGCUUAUCAUCAGGUGACAGAAGAAUGCCCUCAUUGUUAGCACCAGUACCUACAAACAAACCUUCCCAAAGCAUCAUACACGAUACAAAUACACAGCACUCGUAGCAUUGAGUGAGUAUGUUACUAAUGGGAGAACCAAGGAAGGGCUGCAUCUGAACUGCUCCCCUUGGAGACGCAGGCACCUCCAGAUCUGAAGCACACAGCAGGACUUUACUGUGCUAAGUGCUGUGCAAACACAGCAGCACAAAAUGGACUCUGCUCUGAGAAGAUGCGAUCACAUCCCAGCCUGGCUGUCACUGCAGUAAGGUCAAGAAAUACCUCCAGGUUUAUUACGGUGAAAGUUAAAAGAAUUAGAUCCUCCGGGUUCAAAUUUGCACAUGGAGGCAUAUUUUCAUCAAGCCAUCUCUUGCACAUCAGGAAAUAAUCCAGACUUUUCCUCCUUUCUGUAUUUCAUUCAGCAAACCGGCUACUCCAAAGAUCAAUACAUUUUGCAACAGGAAAUCACCUGCAUUGUAGUACACAGAAAGUUAAUCAGUAAACACAGAGCAAAGCAAACAAGGAACUGGGGAGGGACAUGGAGGAUCCCUUCUGCUGGCAGGAGAUACAGAGGCCAGGUCAUCAGGUUGUGGUAGCUGAGUGAUUUGCACCAAUGUGUCUAAUACCAAUGCACUGAAAUUAAUGCAUGUGCAAAUCAUUUGAUAGCACGGAUGACCCAUUCCCAGCUAGUUAGAAAGAAGUUAGUAUGUCAUAGAAUGUUCAUCUCCAACUCUUUCUGGGAAUCCAGCAUUUUCAAUAGCUUGUUUUUCAUACCAAGCACAAGUUUGGCAUGUGCUUAUGUUCUGUCCUUCCUAGCUGAUGGCAUCCAUCCCCACAAUUCAUCUACCUCAGUCUGCCCUGAUUCUGCAAACAUGUACAUGCCAAUAUGUACAUCUACGCACAUAGGUACUGCACUGGGAUGAUGACAGCUGUAGGUUAAUUCACAGAUUGAUCCCAGCAUUAAUGCAGUACACAGAUAUUGAUAUUGUUACUUUCCCACCUGCUACUGAUGGAUUUUCAGCUGUAGGAGACCAGCACCUACCGGCCAAACAGUUAUGGUAAUACUUCUAAAAACAGCUGCUAAAUGUUAUCUUGUGCCACUUAAGGGUAGUAGAAAGAGGGGAAAAUCCUGCACUACAAGAAAUAGUGAACAUAGAGCUGGGCACUGCAUAGAAAUAUCACAGAAGCUGGAUCUAAGCUCUUAAAAUGACCCUGCAUAUUAUUUCUGCCUCAAGUCCCAGUGAAUUUAUCUUCCUUAACCCCCUUAUUCCCUCUUUAGGAAAAUGAUGCUCGUUUCCAGCUGAGGGAAUGCUGAGGAGAGUUUGACCAAGGUGUGCCUGGACCCAUCCCAGGACACAGCUGCAAGCUGAGCUCUAGGUGGCUGCAUGGCUGUCUCACCAACCUGCCAUUUGAAAGCAACACCUUGAUUCUCCUUAUCUAAAAUGGAGCUGGUGGCACUUGGUUAUCUCAUGGAAUGAGCUGAAAUGGGCUCAUUCAGGUUAGUCAAGCUCUUGGAGAAUAUAAUGGUCACUUUGCACCUUGCUUCCUUUAUCAACAGAAAGGAAACCCGGAGGCACUGCACAUCAAUUCACACCUGAGAAGGUAUUGAAUAGAUGUAUCUAGGAUAAUAAUGAACCUGAAAAUGGUUACUUGCAUUUUUUAAUGAAUUCUUCAUUUUGAAGUGAAAAACACUUCAAACAAACAAACAAACAAACAAAACCAACACCACAAAACAACGCUUACACUUUGACAAUGCUAUUAUUGUUCUUAUGUUUGUAGACAUACAGAGCAAGCCACCUCUAUUGCCAUGGCUAUCUGCAUGGUGGGUCCCUUUCCCCACCCUCUUUUAGAAAGCAGUUUGGAUUCCACAUAAAAGAACAAAACUUGCAGGAAGUCCACUGGGGUGCAAAGAUACCUGACUCCCCAUACUCGGGGACACAAGUACAAACUAUUAUCACUUGAAUCUUUUAACAAAACAUUUACUAUUUCAGAGCCUUCAGAGACUCCAGACCUGACAAUAUGCAACAGUGUUUGCAUCACCAACAGAACUGUUUGCUUUUCUAACCAAGGAAGGAGAGCUGAAAAGUUUAGAGAUAGGACAAAAGGAAAUGCUUUCAAACUAAAGCUAAAAGUGGGGAGAUUUAGAUUGGACAUAAGGAAGAAGUGUUUUACACUAAGGGCAUCAAGGCACUGGCACAGGUUGCCCAGAGUCGUGGUGGAUGUCCUGGCCUGGGAGAGAGCCAAAGUCAGGCUGGAGGGGCUCUGAGCACCUGAUGGAGCUGUAGGAGUCCCUGUUCAGUGCAGGGAGUGGGACCGCAUGGCCCUUAAGGGUCCCUUCCAACUCAAACUGUUCUACAAAGAAAAACACUUCCCUCAAUACUAAUUGUAUUUAAGCACUGAUAAGAAAAAUGAAGAACAUGCAAGGAGUACCUCCUUGGCCUCAGUGGGUAACAGAUUAGGUCUGGGGCCUAUGAUCUUUAUCAGAUCCAGGCAUAUCUGGAUCACCACAACCAGAUCCUGGUCAGGCCUUUGCACACAGCUCCAUGCCUUUCUACUAAUAUAAAUACCCUUCACAGGAAUUCCUACCCACUUUGUACUUUUACUCUGAGGACAGGCAACUUCUGAUUAAAUGCAAAGCCUGCAGGUACCCUGUUAGCCACCGGCAUUUGUCUUUUGCAGACAUAAGCACGCACAGCAAGCCAGCACUGGGUGGGCACUCUGCCAUCUGUGGCCGCAGCAACCUCAGCUGGAGGUGGGAGCUGCAAAGCCGGAUUUACCACCCUGCUGGCCCAUGGCCAUCAGCAUAACCUCACACACUGCCAUGCCAGCCAAGACUUCCCUGCCUCCUUCGCUUCAGACGUCAAGCAAGAGACACUCCCGGAAUGAGCGCACACUGUGGGGGAAGGAAAGGGCUGAUGCAUUUGGCUGGAUCCCACUCUACAACCAGAUCCGACUUGGGCAGCCCACUGCAUGAGAAAAACUGUUGUUCCAGUGACACACACACACACAUGUGCUGGGAUCACAGCCACCCGGCCGCAUUGAUUCCCACUAACACCCCCAAGCGCCUCUGCCAGAGUUGUGCCCGACUUCACCCAACAUCUUUCAUCUCCCCAUUGAUUAGUUGUCACGAGGAGGGAACGCUGUAAUCAAUGAACCUCUCAGUUGCUGUCAGCAUAUACAGCCCCUAUAUAAAUCCUAUUAUUUUCUGGUUUAUUAUUUUAUUUUCUGCUUUUAUUGUCUCUCUGAAAGAAAAUUGCUUCCUAAUUAAAUGCAUCAAAACCAUAAUACAGUAACCUAAGGUAUUUUUCUACUUUACUUCCCCAUAAAGGAUUACUGCCACAAGAGUGAUUGUCAUAGGCAGUUAUAUCACUAUUAGUAAUAAAUGUUUAUAUUGUGAUAACACUCAAACCCUGCAUUCGUGAUGAGAUCCUGUAGUUCGAGACCCUGAAAACCCACAGAAAUGCAUCAGCUUGUGUUUCAGAGCUCUCCCAGAAAUAGCCACGUACAUCUUUCAUGCUUUUCCUCUAUUUGUGGAGUUGCAUUUAAUUUGCAAUUGACAGGCCCAGUACUGACAUAAUUUGGCAAUUCCUGGCCCGGGCACAACUUGGUUAUUUGAAAAGAAAUGCUCUUCAUAAAGGGAUAAUUGGAAGCAGCAUAUCCAUCAAAGCAUGCAUUUGGAUGUAUUUCAGCUCAGGCUCAGACAAUCUAAGCAACAGAUUAAUGCAUUAGAGAUGCUGGUAUUUGCAACUGAAAGACAAAACUGCCCUCGAUGCUUCUGAUCAUCGCGCCUCCCUGGUACCUUGCAGCUUCUGGCCGUACUCCGUCCUGUCCGACUGACUCCUGCGCAAGGCACCGUGCUCCCCAGCCCCGCUGCUCUCCACCACGGGCUCCGUCCUCCUCCUCUCCCCCAUGUACAGCUUGUGCCGCAGCAGGGUCAAAUUCUUCCUCCGUCCCCCUACGCCGUCCGUGCUCGCCAUGUCCAUGCCGGCGUGGGACAGGGGACGAGGGGCUGAUCCUGGGCACGCAGCUCACGGCUCAGGGGAAGGCUCAGCCUUUCCACCUGUGCCGGUGCGGCUCCACCUCCGGGAAGCUGCCGCCCCAGGCUGUGUUUGCUUUCACCUACUGAGUGUGUGUGAGCCCUACGGGGCAGGUUUAAGAGGCAGCCCGAGCUGCAGCCACUGCCUUUACCUGCUUCGGGAGACGUUCCUUGGCUCCUUUGGCUGCAGGAUGGUCACAACCCUUCAUCAAGGUCAGAAAUAGCGUGCGGCCCACUCUGAUCCCACCCAGCGCUGUGUUCCUUUUGUACAGACACACUGGUGGAAGCCCAGGCACGGAGCGGAGAAAGGCCUGCGAACACCAAGGGGACACUGAGGCAUGUGGAGGAGCUGGAGGGGCUAUUGUGACAAAUUGCUGCGCUCUGAUGGCAGCAAAACAGCUGCUCGCAGUACCCCUGGCUCAGUCCCUGGGAGAGACCUUAUUAUCCUAUUUGCUAGCAAUGGCCCCUGGCACUCUGGCACUGCCUAGGGAUGCUGUGUCUUGCCGGUCUAAUCAAACUCAUGUCAAAACAGCAGGAGCUGCUGGCAUCUCAGCUUGGACCCGACUUAUCCUGGCAAGAGCCCCAACAGCCGUCAGCAGCAAUCAUGGCCACAGUGGUGACACCGGCCCCGCAGCCCCAUUGCUUUUAGGAAGCAGUGCAUCAGGAGCCCCGUGGGCAGCCUGCUUGUGUGAGGCGGCCACAUGCCCAGUGGGUCACAGCUCAUUGCUGCCCUGCUGCCACGUUGUAAUGUUGCAUCCCCAAGGACUGUGCGGGACAAAGUGAUGAGCACAGGGAUACAAUGCAGCAGUGUCAAUGCAUCUCCCAACUUGUGUUUAUCCGAAAAAGAGCUUGUAUCACUAUGACGCUGCCUCCUGACCAAAGCCCCUCAUUUCUACCCUGCAGAAUUAAGAAAAGAUGAAGAAACCAUUAUGCAAUUCUCUAUGCCAAAUUGCAGUGCAGUGCCAGUGCUGCACAAAGUGUCCGGUCUGAACACAACCUGGCAGAGGACUAAAGCAGAGGAUACCAGGAAGAGUCUCUGUGCUGGCACAGAGAAGGGACACACUACGCAGGCAGCCCAUGUGUUACAUCUCCUCUCCCCUUUGCUACUCCCCAAGAAACCCAUGUGUGUUGCAAGACAGACCACAACAGUUCUUAAUGAGGACAGCAGUGAGGGCAAGAAGGGUUCCCAGGGAGCAGGGACAAGCAUCACAGCAAGGAAUAAACAGAUUAAGGUGGGAGUUGAGGGAAAUUGGCUGCCCGAUUUCCUUACAUUGGGGAUUUCCUGAGGUUUGUUUGUUUUCUUUUUAUCCAAGCAAUGCCUUGACAUUCAGCAAAGGUGGCAAAACUGGUUUAAACGGUCACCACCCUUUGUGUCCGCUUCCCCCUGCAAUCCUGUUCUCAUUAUCGGUGGUAGGGCACAAACUGAGCAUCUGAGGCUGGAUGGAGGAGGUGAUGUGGCUGAAAGCCCCCUGCCUUCCCCCUGGGCUGUUUUCCUUCUGGAUCUGUUCUCCCGUUUAGUUCAUCACACAGCUUUGCCAACAGUUGGAGGAGGGACACAGGGGUACAUGUGAGCAGCUGGAGGUAGUUGUUAAAGCUGGCACUGCCCAGAGAAGUUGUUUACCCCCACAGGGAUUUUACCCUGCUGUGCUUUUCUGGAAGCACAGAUCUCAUCAUCUCUAUGAGAUUUUAUUAUAUCUACUUAAAUUAAGAUUGCUUUAGGGAAAACUGAGGGAUAUACUUUGGCUGGGUGGAGGUGGAGGAACAAAUUUUAUUAAAUUCUUGGCUUUGCAGGCUCUCUGCCACACAUGAAGAGUUCCAGCCAAGAUAUAAUGGUUUGUUCAGGUGUUUAUUACGACAGCAAUCUGCCCACAUGCAAGAGGUGUCUUCCUUCUCCUCCACCACUGCCCCGCAGACUGACAAGGUUUGUGUUCAUUCAGCAAGGAAGUGGCUGCAGGGAAAGCUGGCUGUGGUUUACUCCUGCCUUUGAGCUUGUAGUGGUCUGAGUCCAGGCAACAGCAGCAUUUCUGGGGCAGCAGGGAGCCCAAAGCUAGUGUACAACACAGUGCAGAAAUGCAGCCCUUUCUGAAGCCUCAAAAUAUCUCCUCUGUGCCACUUAGCAUGGAAAAGGCUGAAAAUAGCAUGUCUGAAGUCACGUUCUGCGUGAGGUUUAAUAUAUAGGCUACCAGAUGCAAUCCCUAUAGACUCUUACUAGUGUUUGCUGUACUUCACCUGGACUAUAAUAAACCAGCUGAGAAAGCACUGUCAGAACUGCACGUGAAGAACUCAGCUAGCACUAGCAACCAGCUCUCAAUGAGUGAACAGCUCCUGUUCCCUUCUGGCCACGGUAACAACUGAUGGCUGAGCUGUAUCAAAGUUACUGAACUCUAAGAGGGAAUAUCUGGCACCUGUGUGGACAAAAUGCUCGUUUUACAAUCAUUGCAAAUAUCUCUUUGACCCCUGGGUAUUGUGCUUAUUUAAUUCUCCUAAGCAAACUGGAAGCCAGAGAAUGUUAGCACUCACAUACGGGAUAUUUACAUGGAACCUCUCCACUCACGAGACAGAACAGGUGCUGGUGUCAUCACGUAAAAUAUUGGCUUUGUGUUCCCAAGCAACUGUAGCAAUUGCAUACAAGAGGUUAUUGUUGUACGAUCAACGUUAACCUUUAUCUUCAUCCUGAGCUAUAAACGAAGCAGGAACGCUAUCAAGACUGAUGGCCAUUAAGUAGGCAAACAGUUGUUUGUUUUGUUGUAGUUCCUCACAGCUGUCCCUGAAUAUUUCUUUAUAGCUUGGUAUCCCAGAGCACAUACUCAAUGCGCUGCUGUGGGCUGAUUACCAUGCUGUUCCCUACCAGUGGAAGGAAGCACUGCAGCUGCAGCUCCGUGGCAAUAACACCAGGCAACACCUCAAGUCUGCUCAGCGCAGUGGCCACCAAAAGAAAAGACAGCUUCCUAAUACACCACACCGUGCCCCCACCAGCCAGCAUGAAAUUGCAGCAAAUGAAUGUAGCUCAAUGCCAACAUUAGAAAUCAUUCAGGAUGGGAAACGGUGUAGCCACCUUCCCUUCUGGGCCCGUAUACUGCCUGAGAGCCAUCGCUGUAAUUAACGGUAGAUUAAUCAGUAUGUUUAAUGACAUGAGUCCACAGGUGCUCCUCAUUGCUUCCCCACAUCCUUGGAAUUAGCUCUUGUCUCCACACAGUAAAAUGAUUACACCCAGUGGGUAGCAGAGGAUCAGCAUGGUACAAGGAAAUGCUGCAGAGAGCCAUCCCACCCCCUCCACGGGUGGGAGGCAUCAGCAAUGGGCUCGGAUGUCUCUAUUAGCCCCCAGUCUCCACACACACACCUAGGUGCAGAUAAAAGCAAGCCUGUACCUCUUCUUGCUCUGCUUGUAUGCAUGAGUCAGAGCAAAGAUAUCUUUGAGAGACAAAACGUUGAGGUGAUAAGAGCACUCACGUGAAAGGCCCACCAAGGACUUUGAGCACUGGGAAGCUGCGAGAACAUUCACCCUAUCUGUCUGGGGCUGUAAUUGUAAGAUAAGAAAAGAAUGACAGAUGAGGAUAAAAGCAAUAAAAAAGGAAGACUUAAGGAUAGGUAAAACUGAAGUCUACUACGCAUUCAUCUUUCGAAUGAAUGAAUCAAAACUACUUUGAAAUAUACAUAGGGGAAAGGGAAAAAAAACCAACUUCAAACACUUUUCCAUAGCGUAGAGCAAGAAAAAAGCCUGUCUUGUAGGUGGGAAAUAAUUUUGUGUGGCAGUGUCACCUUGCCUCUGACUGCUGAUCUUGCCAGACUGGUGAUUCCAGUAGAGAAACAGAUCUUUGGAAGCGAGUGCACAGCGAUCGUUUCUUUUAGCCGUCUCUAGUGUUUCUUCUCUAAAUAUUUGUCAGUGAAAUUAAUAAAGCAUACACCUCCGGGGCUCA